UAUUGAUGUAGAAAAAAUGAAUAUUCAUUUGAAAUUUCUUAUUGACUUUUACUUUAAACAUUAGAACAUCUUAGAACUAUCUGUUAAAUGUAACCCAGCUUAAGAGCAUAAUAUGAAGAUUUUAAGAUGUUAAUUGAAAGCAAAUCCAUUCCAAAUUCCACAUGACGAACCAAUUCUGAAUACAUUAUAUAUUAUUAUAUAGGGGUGGAAUCGCCUAAGGUACAAUGUCGUUUCGAAGAAUUUCUGUCUUUUUUGAAGAAGAAUUAAAAAUUAGACUAUUUCGAAACCUAAAUCUGAAAAUUUACAUACAUACAUAUGUAUGUAAGCUUAAGUGAAAUGAACAAUAAAAAAAUGUAUUCUUAAUUAAAUAAAAUAAAAAGUUACGUAUACGCCUGAGUGAA